CAGGCAAUUAUCCCAGGGCAUGAGGGCAAGGAGAUCCAGAAGCUCUCGGAGUUAGGAAGAGACCGAAUAUCAAGUCGAGGUGGAGAUUCUUAUGAUUUAACGUCUCAAGAUUCAAUCCACAAUUGAGCUCACAGUGAGGUUCGCGGUGAAAAACGGAGUCCAACGAGACUAAGAUCACCUCAAACGAAGCUCGGAUGGAAGAGAUACAAGCUUUUGAAGUCGGCACGAGAUCCGAGAUGCGGAGG
rnacentral:lncRNA from 1 species